GCGGCCGCAGGGAGCCGGGGAGGGAAACAAGAAUGCCAGCAUAGGGAUCCUGCCCUUUCCCGGCACGGGAUCGCAGUGCGCCCGCGAGGUUGGCACAUGGUGAUAAAUUUGCUGCAUAGGUGACACUGGAAGGCUUUGUGUGUGAAGAAGAGGAGGGAGAUGCCUGAUAAAUGGCAGCACCUGUGUGACAGAAAUGGAAAAGAAGGGAAAGCCGAAAAGAUCUAAUUGCUGUCUUCGAGAACCGAAAUGGAAUUUACAGAGAAGACAGAGCUAGGCUCUUCUCAAGGAUACACAGUGAAAACAUGACAGGCAACAGUCACAAGCAGCAGCAAGAGGAAUUACAACUGAUAUACAGAAAAAAAUUCUUUGCAGUGAGAGUGGUUAAGCAGUGGAAAGGCUGUGCUGGAGCCUCAAGCAUUGGUGACAAGAAACUCUCUUGUAAUUUAGAACAGAUAUUAUUAAAGUAACAUGAUGAAUUAGAUAGGAAGGGAUCUUUGGAGGUCACCUAGCCGAGUCUCUUGCUGAAAGUUUCCACAUCAAAUGAGGCUGACCAGGGCCUUGUCUAGCUGAAUCCUAAAUCUUGCCAAGGAUGGGGAUUGCACAACUGCUCUGGACAACCUUUUCCUAGGCUUAACAACUCUGCCUGCAAAGAUCCUGAAGAGAAGGAUCCUGCUGACUUCAAAGGCAGUUGGAUUAUGUCCUAGAUGAGGCAGAAUAUUUGUUUGCCAUAUUUUUCUGAAAUAUCUGUUCUAACAAAUUCAACAUUUCAGCUGUUCCAUGUUUUUCUAUAACUUUCCACAGUUAUUGAACUGCGUGACAUGUUCGUCUUUGGUGUCACUUCUUACCUAGAUAGCAAUUUUUCUCCUUCAGUUAUGGCUUUUCCUUGUUCAGUAGAAUUAAUUUGUAGAAAUCUUAUGCAAAUAUGAACUGAGUGGUUUUCCUGUCUGAUUACAGCUCCAUUUAGAUGACAUUAAUAUCAGUGGUACUGAGCACUGCCUGAAUUAAAUACUGAAUUAAUUCAGCUAAUGAAAGCUGCAGGACACACUGUUUGCUUUAAGCAUGCAACAUGGGUGGCUUAGCUGUUGGUUCAGAGGGCUGAAAGAGAAUCUUUGUAUCAAGAGUUUACUUUCCUGAUAUUGUAAGGAGCUCUCUCUUAUCAUUUCUUUCACAGAACUUAACAAGCGCCCAUUGUAUUUCCCCUCACCGUGUUUUUGAAAAGCAUUGUGGAUAAAGGACAGAAUUGCACCCAGUGUAGCACAGCAUCAUGGAGCAAUUCAUCACAUACUGAAUUUCAUAGUGUAGGGGAUGUAACACCUGUAUUAUAUGUAAGAUGUUUGAAUGCAGGUAAACGAGUGUCAAAUCAUGUAUUUUUUGGCACUAUGAAUAACGAGACUUGGAACCAUUUCCAAGCAUGGACAUCAGUCCUCAGGAUUCUGAUUGAUUUAGAAAACCCAUUUGUUCAUGUUCCACUACUGUUAGUUGAUAUUCUGACAAUAGUUUUUAUUCAUUCUCAUUUGUAUUUUGUUAGAUUUCAUUUAUAGUAAAAAGUUGUAGUAACGGUUCUAUUGAUUCUCAAAUACUUGUACAUUUAAACUUACUGAAAUGUCACUAUACAUAUUCAUGUGCUCACCAUGUUCACUAAACUCCAUAUUUAUAUUUACUGGGGAGUAAUCUGUAGUCCUAUUCUGAGCUAAAGCUUAUCCAGGGGUGAUGUAUUGUGAAAUACAUUUCCAUUUUUAUAAUAA